UCCGAUUCAUUCGGGAUAGUGCACUUGGCUACGAAGUUGGCCAGAAUCUGUGCCUUGAUCGAUGACCGUGGCCGAUACUAGAUGUCAAACUCCAAAAGUUCGAUUGCCCAUUUUGCAAUUCACCCUAACGUAUCCGACUAAUAAAGGAUGGUUUUUAUGGGUUGGUCCACCAAGAGGAUAAUAGAAUGGGUUUGAAAGUAUGGGCGUAACUUUCGAGCAGCGAUCAAAAAGGA
rnacentral:lncRNA from 1 species